rnacentral:misc_RNA from 1 species
UACAGAGGUCCCAAGCGUUGUUCGGAUUCACUGGGCGUAAAGGGUGCGUAGGUGGCCGGGAAAGUUUGAUGUGAAAUCUCCGAGCUCAACUCGGAAACUGCAUUGGAUACUACUUGGCUAGAGGGUCGGAGGGGGGACUGGAAUUCUCGGUGUAGCAGUGAAAUGCGUAGAUAUCGAGAGGAACACCAGUGGCGAAGGCGAGUCCCUGGACGACACCUGACACUGAGGCACGAAAGCUAGGGGAGCAAACAGG